rnacentral:rRNA from 1 species
GCCUGCCCAGUGACAAUGUUAAACGGCCGCGGUAUUUUGACCGUGCGAAGGUAGCGCAAUCACUUGUCUUUUAAAUGAAGACCUGUAUGAAUGGUGAAACGAGGGCUUAACUGUCUCCCUUUUCUAGUCAAUGAAAUUGAUCUGCCCGUGCAGAAGCGGACAUAAAAAUACAAGACGAGAAGACCCUUUGGAGCUUAAGAUAUAAAGAUCAUCUAUGUCAAUGGGCCCCAACACGGCAACAAACUAAAUAGCAACUGAUCUUAAUCUUCGGUUGGGGCGACCACGGGAGAAAAUAAAGCUCCCACGCGGACUGGGGUAAACCCUAAAACCAAGAAAAACAUUUCUAAGCAACAGAACUUCUGACCAUUAAGAUCCGGCUACACGCCGACCAACGGACCAAGUUACCCUAGGGAUAACAGCGCAAUCCCCUUUCAGAGUCCAUAUCGACAAGGGGGUUUACGACCUCGAUGUUGGAUCAGGGCAUCCUAAUGGUGCAGCCGCUAUUAAGGGUUCGUUUGUUCAACGAUUAAAGUCCUACGUGAUCUGAGUUCACACCGG